rnacentral:rRNA from 1 species
AUUGAACGCUGGCGGCAGGCUUAACACAUGCAAGUCGAGCGAGCGGCGGACGGGUGAGUAAUGUCUGGGCAACUGCCUGAUGGAGGGGGAUAACUCCUGGAAACGGUCGCUAAUACCGCAUACCCUCAGAUGUGCCCAGAUGGGAUUAGCUAGUAGGUGGGGUAAUGACUCACCUAGGCGACGAUCCCUAGCGGGUCUGAGAGGAUGACAAGCAAAACUGGAAGUGAGACACGGUCAAGACUCCGACGGGAGGCAGCAGUGGGGAAUAGUGCACAAGGGGCGCAAGCCUGAUGCAGCCAGGCCGCGUGUGUGAAGAAGGCCUUCGGGUUGUAAAGCACUUUCAGCGAGGAGGCGUUACUCGCAGAAGAAGCACCGGCUAACGCCGUGCCAGCAGCCGCGGUAAUUC